rnacentral:rRNA from 1 species
CAGCCGUAAACAAUGUGCGUUAGGUGUGUCGGUAACCACGCGUUACUGAUGCGCCGAAGAGAAAUCGUGAAACGCACCACCUGGGAAGUACGGUCGCAAGGCUGAAACUUAAAGGAAUUGGCGGGGGGAGGCACCACAACAGGUGGAGCCUGCGGUUUAAUUGGAUUCAACGCCGGACAUCUCACCGGAUAAGACAGCUGAAUGAUUGUCAAUCUGAAGGUUUACAUGACUAGCUGAGAGGAGGUGCAUGGCGUCAGUGACU